rnacentral:lncRNA from 1 species
GCUUAGCUAGACAUAGUUUGAUUUAAAAUCUAAAAAUAAAAUAAAAUAAAAUAUUAUAUUAUUUGCUGAAAUUUAAUUUGUAAAAAUUAAAAAUUACAGAUUAAAAGAUGCAAAAAUUUAAACUACUCUAUUGUAAAAAUUAAAAUUAUAAAAAUUAAAUAAAAAAUUAAUUUAUUACUGAAUAAAAAUUUUGAUAUAAAAAAAAUUUUUAACUUCUAAACCAUUAACGAGGC